ACGCUGGCGGCAGGCCUAACACAUGCAAGUCGAGCGGUAGAGAGAAGCUUGCUUCUCUUGAGAGCGGCGGACGGGUGAGUAAUGCCUAGGAAUCUGCCUGGUAGUGGGGGAUAACGUUCGGAAACGGACGCUAAUACCGCAUACGUCCUACGGGAGAAAGCAGGGGACCUUCGGGCCUUGCGCUAUCAGAUGAGCCUAGGUCGGAUUAGCUAGUUGGUGAGGUAAUGGCUCACCAAGGCGACGAUCCGUAACUGGUCUGAGAGGAUGAUCAGUCACACUGGAACUGAGACACGGUCCAGACUCCUACGGGAGGCAGCAGUGGGGAAUAUCGGACAAUGGGCGAAAGCCUGAUCCAGCCAUGCCGCGUGUGUGAAGAAGGUCUUCGGAUUGUAAAGCACUUUAAGUUGGGGGGAAGGGCAUUAACCUAAUACGUUAGUGUUUUGACGUUACCGACAGAAUAAGCACCGGCUAACUCUGUGCCAGCAGCCGCGGUAAUACAGAGGGUGCAAGCGUUAAUCGGAAUUACUGGGCGUAAAGCGCGCGUAGGUGGUUUGUUAAGUUGGAUGUGAAAUCCCCGGGCUCAACCUGGGAACUGCAUUCAAAACUGACUGACUAGAGUAUGGUAGAGGGUGGUGGAAUUUCCUGUGUAGCGGUGAAAUGCGUAGAUAUAGGAAGGAACACCAGUGGCGAAGGCGACCACCUGGACUAAUACUGACACUGAGGUGCGAAAGCGUGGGGAGCAAAC
rnacentral:rRNA from 1 species